CUGGAGGUAUCAGAAGUGCGAAUGCUGACAUAAGUAACGAUAAAGCGGGUGAAAAGCCCGCUCGCCGGAAGACCAAGGGUUCCUGUCCAACGUUAAUCGGGGCAGGGUGAGUCGACCCCUAAGGCGAGGCCGAAAGGCGUAGUCGAUGGGAAACGGGUUAAUAUUCCCGUACUUGGUGUUACUGCGAAGGGGGGACGGAGAAGGCUAUGUUGGCCGGGCGACGGUUGUCCCGGUUUAAGCGUGUAGGUGUGUGUUCCAGGUAAAUCCGGUUCACUUUAACACUGAGGCGUGACGACGAGGCACUACGGUGCUGAAGCAACAAAUGCCCUGCUUCCAGGAAAAGCCUCUAAGCAUCAGGUAACAUCAAAUCGUACCCCAAACCGACACAGGUGGUCAGGUAGAGAAUACCAAGGCGCUUGAGAGAACUCGGGUGAAGGAACUAGGCAAAAUGGUGCCGUAACUUCGGGAGAAGGCACGCUGACACGUAGGUGAAGUGAUUUACUCAUGGAGCUGAAGUCAGUCGAAGAUACCAGCUGGCUGCAACUGUUUAUUAAAAACACAGCACUGUGCAAACACGAAAGUGGACGUAUACGGUGUGACGCCUGCCCGGUGCCGGAAGGUUAAUUGAUGGGGUCAGCGCAAGCGAAGCUCCUGAUCGAAGCCCCGGUAAACGGCGGCCGUAACUAUAACGGUCCUAAGGUAGCGAAAUUCCUUGUCGGGUAAGUUCCGACCUGCACGAAUGGCGUAAUGAUGGCCAGGCUGUCUCCACCCGAGACUCAGUGAAAUUGAACUCGCUGUGAAGAUGCAGUGUACCCGCGGCAAGACGGAAAGACCCCGUGAACCUUUACUAUAGCUUGACACUGAACAUUGAGCCUUGAUGUGUAGGAUAGGUGGGAGGCUUUGAAGUGUGGACGCCAGUCUGCAUGGAGCCGACCUUGAAAUACCACCCUUUAAUGUUUGAUGUUCUAACGUGGACCCGUUACCCGGGUUGCGGACAGUGUCUGGUGGGUAGUUUGACUGGGGCGGUCUCCUCCUAAAGAGUAACGGAGGAGCACGAAGGUUGGCUAAUCCUGGUCGGACAUCAGGAGGUUAGUGCAAUGGCAUAAGCCAGCUUGACUGCGAGCGUGACGGCGCGAGCAGGUGCGAAAGCAGGUCAUAGUGAUCCGGUGGUUCUGAAUGGAAGGGCCAUCGCUCAACGGAUAAAAGGUACUCCGGGGAUAACAGGCUGAUACCGCCCAAGAGUUCAUAUCGACGGCGGUGUUUGGCACCUCGAUGUCGGCUCAUCACAUCCUGGGGCUGAAGUAGGUCCCAAGGGUAUGGCUGUUCGCCAUUUAAAGUGGUACGCGAGCUGGGUUUAGAACGUCGUGAGACAGUUCGGUCCCUAUCUGCCGUGGGCGCUGGAGAACUGAGGGGGGCUGCUCCUAGUACGAGAGGACCGGAGUGGACGCAUCACUGGUGUUCGGGUUGUCAUGCCAAUGGCACUGCCCGGUAGCUAAAUGCGGAAGAGAUAAGUGCUGAAAGCAUCUAAGCACGAAACUUGCCCCGAGAUGAGUUCUCCCUGAGACUUAGAGUCUCCUGAAGGAACGUUGAAGACGACGACGUUGAUAGGCCGGGUGUGUAAGCGCAGCGAUGCGUUGAGCUAACCGGUACUAAUGAACCGUGAGGCUUAACCUUAC
rnacentral:rRNA from 1 species